rnacentral:rRNA from 1 species
GACGAACGCUGGCGGCGUGCUUAACACAUGCAAGUCGAACGGAAAGGCCCUGCUUUUGUGGGGUGCUCGAGUGGCGAACGGGUGAGUAACACGUGAGUAACCUGCCCUUGACUUUGGGAUAACUUCAGGAAACUGGGGCUAAUACCGGAUAGGAGCUCCUGCUGCAUGGUGGGGGUUGGAAAGUUUUGGCGGUUGGGGAUGGACUCGCGGCUUAUCAGCUUGUUGGUGGGGUAGUGGCUUACCAAGGCUUUGACGGGUAGCCGGCCUGAGAGGGUGACCGGCCACAUUGGGACUGAGAUACGGCCCAGACUCCUACGGGAGGCAGCAGUGGGGAAUAUUGCACCAUGGGCGGAAGCCUGAUGCAGCAACGCCGCGUGCGGGAUGACGGCCUUCGGGUUGUAAACCGCUUUCGCCUGUGACGAAGCGUGAGUGACGGUAAUGGGUAAAGAAGCACCGGCUAACUACGUG